UACCAGCUCUCCGAGUGGUGUGGAUGUUUAUUGGGCCUAAAGCAUCCGUAGCUGGCUGGACAAGUCCCCUGUUAAAUCCACCGAUUUAAUCGUUGGUGUGCGGGGGAUACUGUUCGGCUAGGGGACGGGAGAGGCCGACGGUAUUUCCGGGGUAGGGGUGAAAUCCUAUAAUCCCGGGAAGACCACCAGUGGCGAAGGCUGUCGGCUAGAACGCGCCCGACGGUGAGGGAUGAAAGCUGGGGGAGCGAACCGGAUUAGAUACCCGGGUAGUCCCAGCUAGUAAACGAUGCAGACUCGGUGAUGAAUAGGCUUAGUGCCUAUUCAGUGCCGCAGGGAAACCGUUAAGUCUGCCGCCGUGGGGAGUACGGUCGCAAGACUAGAAACUUAAAGGAAUUGGGCGGGGAGCACCACGAAGGGGUGAAGCCUGCGGUUC
rnacentral:rRNA from 1 species